UACAGAGGUCUCAAGCGUUGUUCGGAUUCAUUGGGCGUAAAGGGCGCGUAGGCGGCGGGGUCAGUCGGGUGUGAAAUCUUGGGGCUUAACCCCGAAACGGCACUCGAAACUGCCCGGCUGGAGGGCCGGAGAGGAGAUCGGAAUUCACGGUGUAGCAGUGAAAUGCGUAGAGAUCGUGAGGAAGACCAGUGGCGAAGGCGGGUCUCUGGACAGUUCCUGACGCUGAGGCACGAAGGCCAGGGGAGCAAACGGG
rnacentral:rRNA from 1 species